AAUAAAACUAGAGAGGAAGAUAGGUAACCUAUGAAAAUGUCAAUGGCCGUUGCGUUUGCUUAAUCGUAUUUUUUUUUUUUCAGUCCGUGUUUUUUGUACAUUCUACGUUUGAGUUUUCCAUCAUGUAGGCCUCAGAAAUUUGGUAGGCACUCGAUGGUGAAGAGAUAGUGUCGGAUUUCGGAUUGAUCUUUCAGUUGAUAGCCUGCUGCUCUUUUCUUUUUCGAAGAAUUUCGAGUAUGCUGGUGUCAGUGUAGAUGCUUGUGUGUGCGCGAUUUGUGGUUUUUUAUUGUGUUUCUACUUAUAGAUGGCUAAAAUCUGAGUUUAAAAAAUGCAAAAUGCAAACCGUAAAUUCUUAAACACUGCCAUUGCAUUUAGUUGCUAAAGCAGUGUUUUUGAACUUAUUCCUGUCACUCAUUCUUCGUACCAAUCCUCUUCUCGACCUAACCUUUUAAUUACCAUGGGAAGCCUACCAUCACCACACCCACACACAAAUGUUACAGCUGAUUGUUUAUUAGCAAAGUUUGCACGAGUUCGCUGUUUAUUUUUUUCUCGUUUUCUUAUACCUAGUAUUUUUCCUGACACUGUUUAAGGUGACGGAAAAAAAGGAGUUUAAGUUAGAUCUGCGAACAGACGGUGCUAAGCGCUGUCACUUUAUGUCUAUCUUAUCGUUAACUCUGGAAAAAGAAAAAGGAAAAAGAACGUCAGGGAACAUGAGUAUAUAUAGAAAUGGUUUAUUCUAGUUUUUUCCGUUUUUUCAGUAGAUUUUUGCCUUUAAAAGAAUAAAUCCCACUACAAAAAGGUAAAAUAAAAAAUCUAUUCACUGAACUUACUGAUGAAAUUUUCAAGUGUGUCCCGUACAUCGAACGAUGUGACAGAGAAAAAUACGAGUAGGUAAACAAGCCAAAAGGCAAGGGUGUCCUUUCUUAAGCAUCGGUUCGGUUUGCGGGCGAUCAGUAACUGAACAAUGAUACAAGAUCAAGAACGUAAUUUGAGAUUUUUCAAGAUGGUUUUUUUAGGUAUCUAUUAAAACUACUUUGAUGAUCAAUACGGUAUUUUUGUCGCAUUAUUUUCCAAGCGGAGGGAACCGUGUGUUCAUUUUAUGAAUCUUGGUGUUGUAUUCACAGCUACUUCUCCUAAUGCCUUCGAUGCAUUUAGAUAAUUUUUGGAAACAUUUUUUUUCUUGAUGUAUAUUUUUUGUAUUGUAGAAAUCGCGCGUACUGUACUUGUAUAUCGCUUUAUAAGCGCUUUUAAUUGAUUGUUCAUGACGAGGAUAGGCGGAUAGGCGGAGGUAUGCCUCUUAAUAUUUA
rnacentral:telomerase_RNA from 1 species